CAAAGGAACAGUUUGGGGUGCUUAUUAUGAAAACAGCUGCUAGUCCAGGCCUAGUGGGGAUGGGGAUGUGCCCUGGACCUUCACGUUAUAAGGGAAGAGGUCUCCAAACUAGCCCAAAAGGAGGAGCCCCAUGUACCCCUAAAGUCUUUUUUACUCAUUCAAACUCUGACCUUUUUUUACAGGCACUCGAUAUGGCUAUUUUCCCUUUGCCUUGCCCUGCCUUCUCUCAAUUCAUCCUCUACAUAUCUUCACCUCAAGCCUAGCUUAGCCCUUUGAAUCCAUGAUAUGACCUGCUCACUUGUAUGGAAGCAGAGCUGGAGUGGGAAUACAUGGGCUUCACUUUGAAGAAUUGCAAACAAAGAAAAUCUCAUUCGUUUCAGGGCAAAGCAAGGAAAAAGGAGAUUCCUGAGCAGGCACCAUGUCCCACCAGGUACACGCUGUAAACCUGGCUGCCAAAUCAUAUGGUGGAUGGAGAAAAAACACGCUGCAUGUAUGCAUUUCCCAUGCAGUAUCAAAAGGACAAACCCAAAAUAACACUGCACGUAGAGAAGAUGUAGGUAAGAGAGGUGGAAGCAUUGAUAGCUAUCUUCGUGAAGAUUUGGCUCUCCCCACACAGCCCCUGCUGCCAGAGCUGCCUGGGUGCUGUGUAAGUGCUUGCACCCUGACCAGGGCAGCUGCUCAGAGGGGAAUUGGGGCUGGCACCUUCUCUUUCCCCUGAGCUUACCUGCACUCGCACCUUACUACCACACUUCCUCAUUUUCUCAGCUGAAAAAUGAAGAUAGUAACACUUCCUUGACUCCUGCAAGGGAUGUUGCAAGGAAGAAUGAAGGUACAGAAAAAGCUGUGAGUGCUUCAUCAUCUUACAUGAGCUUUAAAUAUUGCCGAUGUUGUUAUUCACUGUUUAAAAUGCAGCCAACAACUUGUACCGAGCAAAGAUAUGUUAUCCUGCAAACAACAGUCCUGGAUGGAGUAAAGUGAGGGAGCAGCCCUCUGCUGCUAUGCAGAUUGCAAGCUAAUAUGCUGGUUUUAAUUGCCUUCACCAUUUUAUAAACCUAGCAGCUGCUGGUUAUCUCUUUUC
rnacentral:lncRNA from 1 species